UCACCAGCAGGCCCACCAGGUGAGCACCACGAUUUCCGCUUGCCUAGACGAACCUCCAUCGCAACUGAGACUUGAAUCUCGAGCUCGCGGACGCAAAGCCCAUCACGGGCGAACCUGUAGCAAAACUGGAACUUCCGGUUCUGAUCUGUCAACCAGCAGUAGCUCUAGAAACAUGAGAGGAACCCAACCAAGCAAACCCCAAACCCAUCAAUGGUGAACCCUAACUUCCCAGGACCAUCCCAAGGUCUUUCCGAGGAGAUCUCCCCAAGGGGAGAGAUCUACCCAUAGAAAACCGGAACUUUCAGUUCCUAAACCGGAACAUCCGCUAUUGAUCUGUCCAGAGUGUCCAGAGUUCUUCCCGUGAGACCUCUCUAAGUGAGCUAAAAACUGGAACAUCCGGUUACCCCAAAUCGCAACUUCCGGUUUUCUAAAGUCAGAACUUCCAGUUUUUACCCCAGAAACCAGAAACACCCCACGACACCCUAGCCACC
rnacentral:lncRNA from 1 species